rnacentral:misc_RNA from 1 species
AAUUCUUUGGUUAUAUUGUCUUAUUUCAAAAAUCAUUUGUCCAUUGUUGUCGAAUCUCAGCCCUGAAUAUGAAAUCCAUGAUUGUAGCAGGGAAUGUCACAAAAAAGGCCAUCAAAUAACUGUAAUUAUCAGGUCUUGAUUUGUUUCUGGUGUACACAAUCAAUUAUAGUAAUGCUUUAUUAUGAUAGUAUUAUAAGGUUCUCUAUUUUAAACCUAGGUAAAAU